rnacentral:rRNA from 1 species
AGAUUGAACGCUGGCGGCAUGCCUUACACAUGCAAGUCGAACGGUAGAGUAGCAAUACUCGAGAGUGGCGAACGGGUGAGUAAUAUGUCGGAACGUGCCCAGUCGUGGGGGAUAACGUAGAGAAAUUUACGCUAAUACCGCAUACGAUCUACGGAUGAAAGCGGGGGAUCGCAAGACCUCGCGCGAUUGGAGCGGCUGAUAUCAGAUUAGGUUGUUGGUGAGGUAAAAGCUCACCAAGCCGACGAUCUGUAGCUGGUUUGAGAGAACGACCAGCCACACGUGGGACUGAGACACGGCCCAGACCUCCGUACGGGAGCAGCAGUGGGGUAA